CUUGAUCGAUCCCAACCACAGUGGCCGAUCCUGCGGCCGGUCCUUCCCGUACGUCGCCAGCAGGGCCUGCGCCUC
rnacentral:antisense_RNA from 1 species